CGUCGCUUUUGCACCAUCCCAAAAUUGCAGUCUCCGGUUCGGACUAUUCUGGUGUUCGCUGAAAGUGAAACACUCUGCAUAUGGCAAACUAAUCAAACUCUAUCUUCUUUUGACGGUGGAGUUUGGCUGAGUCACUAAUCAAGACUUGUGUAAUUGGAGAAGACUAGCUUGCUUCAGCUUAAAUGCAUCAUCUCCAACUCCUCCAAGCUACAAAAAUAUGCAUGUGGAAUUGGAUGUCAAUGCUAAUGAACCAAGUUGUUUCUAAAUCAGUUAGGAAACUGAUACCAUAUUGGUUUGCUUUACCAUCAAUGCAAUGACAUGAAAUCCUUUGGAAGGUUUAAGAGAUUCUGUGACAGUUUUGGAUUCAGAUUACAUUCCAGACAAUUAUCAGUUAUCCCUGAGGCCAAGCCCGAGAUCUUAAAGGUGAAAGAAGAAGUUCAUGUGGAUGCAGAUGUUGCUCGUAUUUCAACUUUGCAUUAUCUUAUACAGUUAUGUGCUAAAACACAGUCAUUGAUGGAAGGGAGCUCAUGCCAUGCUCAGACUAUCCGUAUUGGCUUUGAAAUUGACAUAUUAACAUCAAAUAUGCUCAUUAAUAUGUACUCUAAAUGUGGUUUAGUGGACAAUGCUUUCAGAAAGUUCAAUGAAAUGCCAGAGAAAAGCUUAGUUUCAUGGAAUACAAUGAUUGGAUCUCUUACCCAAAAUGGGGAGGAGCAGGAAGCUCUCACACUUUUCAUUAAAAUGCAAAGAAAUGGAACCUCACGUAAUGAGUUUAGCAUUUCUAGUGUACUGUGUGCUUGUUCCACAACAUGUGCUAUAGUUGAGUGCAUGCAGUUGCAUGCUUUUGCCAUUAAAGCUUCUAUAGAUUCAAAUGUUUUUGUUGGAACUGCUUUAAUUGAUGUUUAUGCUAAGUGCUCUUCAAUAAAAGAUGCGAAUCAGGUAUUUCAGAGCAUGCCAAAAAGAAGUCCUGUAACAUGGAGUUCUAUGGUGGCAGGAUAUGUACUAAAUGGGCUCUAUGAGGAGGCCUUGCUACUGUUUCAUAGUUCUCAAUUAAUGGGUUUGGAGCCAGAUCAGUUUAUGGUUUCAUCUGCUAUUAGUGCUUGUGCAGGUCUGUCAACUUUGAUCGAAGGUAAGCAGGUGCAUGCUAUGUCAUGUAAAUCAGGAUUUGAUUCAAACUUGUAUGUUGUUGGCUCCCUUAUAGAUAUGUAUGCCAAAUGUGGCUGCAUAAAAGAAGCAUACCUUGUGUUUCAGUGUGUGGAGAAGAGAAGCAUUGUAUUAUGGAAUGCAAUGAUAUCAGGGUUUGCCAGACAUGCUUGUGCACUAGAGGCCAUGAUCUUGUUUGAGAAAUUGCAGCAGAUAGGCUUCUGCCCUGAUGAUGUAACAUACUUAUCCGUAUUAAAUUCCUGUAGUCAUAUGGGUUUGCAUGAAGAAGGACAGAAGUAUCUUAACCUUAUGGUAAGACAGCACAAUCGUUCACCCAAUGUCAUUCACUAUUCAUGCAUGGUUGACAUUCUCAGUCGGGCUGGACUAGUUCAUGAGGCUUAUGAGUUGAUGGAGAGAAUGCCAUUUAAUGCAACUACUUCUAUGUGGGGAUCACUUUUGGCCUCUUGUAGGAAAUGUGGCAAUAUUGAGCUUGCUGAGGUUGCAGCCAAGCACCUAUUUGAAAUGGAACCUAACAAUGCUGGGAACCACAUCUUGCUAUCAAACAUAUAUGCAGCAAAUAAACAGUGGGAGGAAGUUGCGAGAGCAAGGAAGCUUCUCAGAGAGAGUGAUUUGAAGAAAGAGAGAGGUAAGAGUUGGAUUGAAAUUAAGAAUGAGGUUCAUUCUUUUACAGCUGGUGAUAGAAACCAUCCAAAAAUAGAUAGGAUUUAUGAAUAUUUGGAUAAUUUGAUAGAGGAGUUAAAGGAGGUUGGUUACAAAGUUGAAACUAAUUAUGACCUUCAUGAUCUGGAGGAAGGCACAAAGCAGGUGCUUUUGAGGCACCACAGUGAGAAGCUUGCUCUUACCCUUGGAUUGAUGUGUUUACCUUGUGAUGUACCCAUAAGGAUUAUGAAAAACCUUAGAAUAUGUGGUGAUUGCCAUACUUUUAUGAAACUAGCAUCAAAGUUUGCAAACCGGGAAAUCAUUAUCCGGGAUAUAAAUCGUUUUCACCACUUGAAGGAUGGCAUCUGUUCUUGUGGUGAUUUUUGGUGAACAUCUGAUGUAUUUUCCUUUCUAUAUCUCCUCUGACCUGGCUAUUCCCUUCAACCUUAUUCAAGCCAUCACUAUUGAAAGGUCUUGCCACACCAGCUGCUGUUAUGGGUGGUACUUGAAUAGGUGCAUCUCAAGGCGUACUGAUCAAAGGGGGCAAGUAUUAGAAAGUACACUUAAGCAAGUAUUUGACACCAAUGGGGCUAGUGGC